rnacentral:rRNA from 1 species
GAAUUUUCCGCAAUGGGCGAAAGCCUGACGGAGCAACGCCGCAUGAGGGAUGAAGGCCUCUGGGCUGUAAACCUCUUUUCUCAAGGAAGAAGAUCUGACGGUACUUGAGGAAUAAGCCACGGCUAAUUCCGUGCCAGCAGCCGCGGUAAUACGGGAGUGGCAAGCGUUAUCCGGAAUUAUUGGGCGUAAAGCGUCCGCAGGCGGCCUUUCAAGUCUGCUGUUAAAGCGUGGAGCUUAACUCCAUUAAGGCAGUGGAAACUGUUGGGCUUGAGUGUGGUAGGGGCAGAGGGAAUUCCCGGUGUAGCGGUGAAAUGCGUAGAUAUCGGGAAGAACACCAGUGGCGAAGGCGCUCUGCUGGGCCAUAACUGACGCUCAUGGACGAAAGCCAGGGGAGCGAAAGGGAUUAGAUACCCCUGUAGUC